GCAAUGCACUGAUGACCGCAUAGUUCAGCAGAUCCUCUGUGACGAACCUAAAGCAUUGUCUUUCGCUCCUAACUGAUGUAUUGC